rnacentral:rRNA from 1 species
UACGUAGGGGGCAAGCGUUGUCCGGAAUCAUUGGGCGUAAAGCGCGUGUAGGCGGCUCGAUAAGUCUGCUGUGAAAGUCCAAGGCUCAACCUUGGGAUGCCGGUGGAUACUGUCGAGCUCGAGUCCGGAAGAGGAGUGUGGAAUUCCUGGUGUAGCGGUGAAAUGCGCAGAUAUCAGGAGGAACACCAAUGGCGAAGGCAGCACUCUGGGACGUGACUGACGCUGAGACGCGAAAGCGUGGGGAGAAAACAGG